AGUGAACGCUGGCGGUAGGCCUAACACAUGCAAGUCGAACGGCAGCACAGUAAGAGCUUGCUCUUACGGGUGGCGAGUGGCGGACGGGUGAGGAAUGCAUCGGAAUCUACUUUUUCGUGGGGGAUAACGUAGGGAAACUUACGCUAAUACCGCAUACGACCUACGGGUGAAAGCAGGGGAUCUUCGGACCUUGCGCGAUCGAAUGAGCCGAUGUCGGAUUAGCUAGUUGGCGGGGUAAAGGCCCACCAAGGCGACGAUCCGUAGCUGGUCUGAGAGGAUGAUCAGCCACACUGGAACUGAGACACGGUCCAGACUCCUACGGGAGGCAGCAGUGGGGAAUAUUGGACAAUGGGCGCAAGCCUGAUCCAGCCAUACCGCGUGGGUGAAGAAGGCCUUCGGGUUGUAAAGCCCUUUUGUUGGGAAAGAAAAGCAGCAGGUUAAUACCCCGCUGUUCUGACGGUACCCAAAGAAUAAGCACCGGCUAACUUCGUG
rnacentral:rRNA from 1 species